GGGUUGUGAGGUUAAGCGACUAAGCGUACACGGUGGAUGCCUAGGCAAUCAGAGGCGAUGAAGGACGUGCUAAUCUGCGAAAAGCGUCGGUAAGGUGAUAUGAACCGUUAUAACCGACGAUGUCCGAAUGGGGAAACCCAGUGCAAUUCGUUGCACUAUCGUUUGAUGAAUCCAUAGUCAAACGAGGCGAACCGGGGGAACUGAAACAUCUCAGUACCCCGAGGAAAAGAAAUCAACCGAGAUUCCCCUAGUAGCGGCGAGCGAACGGGGAGCAGCCCAGAGUCUUAAUCAGCAUCAGCAUCAGGAGAACGGUCUGGAAAGGCCGGCAAUAAAGGGUGAUAGCCCCGUAUCCGAAGGUGUUGGUGUUGUGAACUCGA
rnacentral:rRNA from 1 species